GUCUGUAUCCAUACCACCCUGAAUGUACCCGAUCUCAUCUGAUCUUGGAAGCUAAGGAGGGUUCGGCCUGGGUUAGUAUCUGAGUGGGAGAAACAGAAG
rnacentral:rRNA from 10 species